GGAGUUAGCCGGUGCUUCUUCUGCGAGUAACGUCACAGCUAGCAGGUAUUAACUACUAACCUUUCCUCCUCGCUGAAAGUGCUUUACAACCCGAAGGCCUUCUUCACACACGCGGCAUGGCUGCAUCAGGGUUUCCCCCAUUGUGCAAUAUUCCCCACUGCUGCCUCCCGUAGGAGUCUGGGCCGUGUCUCAGUCCCAGUGUGGCUGAUCAUCCUCUCAGACCAGCUAGGGAUCGUUGCCUAGGUGAGCCAUUACCUCACCUACUAGCUAAUCCCACCUGGGCUUAUCCAUCAGCGCAAGGACCGAAGUUCCCCUGCUUUCCCCCGUAGGGCGUAUGCGGUAUUAGCAGUCGUUUCCAACUGUUAUCCCCCACAAAUGGGCAAAUUCCCAGGCAUUACUCACCCGUCCGCCGCUCGUCAUCUUCAAAAGCAAGCUUUUGAAAUGUUACCGCUCGACUUGCAUGUGUUAGGCCUGCCGCCAGCGUUCAAUCUAAGCCAUAAUCAAACUCUGA
rnacentral:rRNA from 1 species